GUAGAGUGAUCGAAAGAUGAAAAGCACUUUGAAAAGAGAGUUAAAAAGUACGUGAAAUUGUUGAAAGGGAAGCGUUUAUGACCAGACUUGGACUUGGUUAAUCAUCUGGGGUUCUCCCCAGUGCACUUUUCCAGUUCAGGCCAGCAUCAGUUUUCGCCGGGGGAUAAAGGCUUCGGGAAUGUAGCUCUCUUCGGGGAGUGUUAUAGCCCGUUGUGUAAUACCCUGGUGGAGACUGAGGUUCGCGCUUCUGCAAGGAUGCUGGCGUAAUGGUCAUCAACGACCCGUCUUGAAACACGGACCAAGGAGUCGUCUUCGUAUGCGAGUGUUCGGGUGUCAAACCCCUACGCGUAAUGAAAGUGAACGCAGGUGAGAGCUUCGGCGCAUCAUCGACCGAUCCUGAUGUUCUCGGAUGGAUUUGAGUAAGAGCAUACGGGGCCGGACCCGAAAGAAGGUGAACUAUGCCUGUAUAGGGUGAAGCCAGAGGAAACUCUGGUGGAGGCUCGCAGCGGUUCUGACGUGCAAAUCGAUCGUCAAAUAUGGGCAUGGGGGCGAAAGACUAAUCGAACCUUCUAGUAGCUGGUUUCCGCCGAAGUUUCCCUCAGGAUAGCAGUGUUGAACUCAGUUUUAUGAGGUAAAGCGAAUGAUUAGGGACUCGGGGGCGCUAUAUUGCCUUCAUCCAUUCUCAAACUUUAAAUAUGUAAGAAGCCCUUGUUGCUUAAUUGAACGUGGGCAUUCGAAUGUAUCAACACUAGUGGGCCAUUUUUGGUAAGCAGAACUGGCGAUGCGGGAUGAACCGAACGCGAGGUUAAGGUGCCAGAGUAGACGCUCAUCAGACACCACAAAAGGUGUUAGUACAUCUUGACAGCAGGACGGUGGCCAUGGAAGUCGGAAUCCGCUAAGGACUGUGUAACAACUCACCUGCCGAAUGUACUAGCCCUGAAAAUGGAUGGCGCUCAAGCGUCUCACCCAUACCUCGCCCUCAGGGUAGAAACGAUGCCCUGAGGAGUAGGCGGACGUGGAGGUCAGUGACGAAGCCUAGGGCGGAGCCCGUA
rnacentral:rRNA from 1 species